GGUUAAUCCAGUCAAUUGCGCCAUAGCAAUGUUUUUUUUUUAUGUUGGCAGGGUUCACACACACACUAGCUGAAUUUGCAGAGCUAGCGGGCAAACACGAACUAUUAAGCUAGCUAGUACCUAUUCCAUUUAUGUGGCGUCGUCAAAGAUGAAGAUGGAAUCUUUGCUAUUGUCAGUUCAUUCCAAGAUCAGCAUGCAGCUGUAGUGCUUCAAAGUCCCUGUGAUAAGGCAGAUCAGCCAACAGAGGGCACACAGACAGCAGAGCUGGGGAUAGGUGGGCAGGGACAGACUGGCAGAGAGGGAGUCUCAGGACCUGAUCCUGGCCUGAUGACUCCUGGCUGUCCCCAGUCCACCUGUCUGUGCUACUGCUCCGGGUUCAACUGUUCUGCCUGCGGCUAGGGAACCCUGACCUGUUCACCAGACGUGCUACCUUGUCCCGGAUCUGCCGUUUUCGUCUCUCCCACACCUGUUGUCUCAACCUAUGAAUGCUUGGCUAUGAAAAGCCAACUGACAUUUACUCCUGAGGUACUGACUUGUUGCACCCUCUACAGCCACUGUGAUAUUAUUUGACCCAGCUGGUCAUCUAUGAACAUUUGAACAUCUUCAAGAACAAUCUUGCCUUAAAUGGCCAUGUACUAUUAUAAUCUCCACCCGGCACAGCCAGAAGAGGACUGGCCACACCUCAGAGCCCGGUUCCUCUCUCGGUUUCUUCCUAGGUUCCUGCUUUUCUAGGGAGUUUUCUUAGCCACCGUGCUUCUACA
ensembl:lncRNA